rnacentral:rRNA from 1 species
GACGAAGGUGGCGAGCGUUGUUCGGAAUCACUGGGCAUAAAGCGCACGUAGGCGGCGACGUAAGUUGGGUGUGAAAUCCCUCGGCCCAACCGAGGAACUGCGCCCAGUACUGCGUUGCUUCAGGAUCCAAGGGGUGCAUGGAAUUCCCGGUGGAGCGGUGAAAUGCGUUGAUAUCGGGAGGAACUCCGGUGGCGAAAGCGGUGCACUGGUGGAUUACUGACGCUGAGGUGCGAAAGCCAGGGGAGCAAACGGG